UAAAAAUAAAGUCAUAAAUAUGAUAAAGCUCUGUGGCAUCUUGAAAAAACUCAAACAGCACAAAAUGAGCAUGCAUGCUUCAAACAUGGUGUACACAUCAAACAUACUGAUAUGCUUCCUAUAUAUAACAAUUUUCAUAUGGUGGAGGAUCCCUAUGAAUGUAAUAAAUGCCUGACUUUUUGUCAUCCAUUCCAUAGGCAACAGGAGCAAAUUCCUAAUGGAGAGAAAUGUCAUGAAUGUAAUCAAUGUGGGAAAGCCUUCAAAAGACUUUGUAAUCUUACUUUGCAUAAGAAAUGUCACAUGGGCAAAAAAACAAUAUGAAUGUAAAGAAUAUGGGAAAGUCUUCAACGAUUCUUCAACCCAAAGGAGACACGAGACACGUGAGAACUCACACUGGAGAAAAUGUGGGAAAGUCUUCAGUCAGAGACUUUCACUUAUAAACAAGAGAAUUCAUACUGGAAGAGUAACUCUAUGAAUAGAGCUGAAGGAGCUGUUUGUGACCGUGAGAACGACAACCAUGGCCGAAGGAGGUAUAGAAGGAGAUCCUGGUUCCUCAGAGACCUCUAAAUAGCUGUACCAGCACUAUACUACUUGUAUCUGGUUACUUCUAUGUGAUAAAAUCAGUGUUUAUGUGCCACUGCAUUGUGUAUCAAAAGGAGUGAAAUGCCCCAGCAUUGGUGAGGGUGCAGCAUUCUUCUUGAGGUUACUGAUGGAAGCACAAAUUAAUACAGAUUUUCUGUGGGACAGAAAGAGAAAAGAAAAUAAAAGAAAAGAAAAGAGAAAAAAGAAAAAGAACGAAUGAAUGAACGAGCACUAAGAUGAGUGUUAUCAACCACAACUCCUCAAUCUUCUUCAGGUCUUGUAUCUAGUCAAUCUCCAAGUCCAAUCUCCACAUCCUUAGGUUAGCAGCCUGUACAGGGAAGCCUCCCUUCCCUGAACACUUCCACAGUUCCACAGUUCGUGUGAUGAUUAAAUCCAGACCAGGUUAUAGAGACAACUCUUAAGUGGUAGCCCUGUUUCCUAAUCUUGCUUCCAAUAAAUGUGUUUUCCAAACCUCAGCUAAAUAAAAUGCUUGUAGUGAAAGGGAAUAUAAGGGAAGGGAGAAGAAAUGUGUGGGAAAUAUCAGAAAGGGAGACAGAACAUAAAGACUCCUAACUCUGGGAAACGAA